UGCACACACACACACAAUCACUAGGUGGGGCUUUUUAAAUGGCUGACAACUUCCAUAAUAAAACAUGUUUUCUGCUUACAAAGGGCAAGGCUGGGGAGAAAAAGGAAUUAUAGUUCCGUAAUUUAAUUAAAAAUAUUUGAUUCUACUGCUGCUUCUUUUUCCGUCAGCAGGCUAGCACCGAUGCCUCACAGCAAGAAGGUCCUGGGUUCGAUCCCUGUUUCGGACCUGGGGUCUUUCUGUGCAGAGUUUGCUUGUGUACUCCGGUUUCCCCCACCUAGGGYUGCAACGAUUAAUCGAUUAAUCGACRACUAAAACAUUAAGGUUGUCAACAAUCCUGCAGGCAUCAUUAUUUAGGGGAAAUGACUGUAGAAUUGUAUUAUAUUUUUUUAAAUUGUAUAAAUAGCUUAGGCUUGAUUGGUGCAUAUUUAAAAUGUGCACAUAUGUCUAAACUUGUACUGUGGCAGACCAAAAUGACAUUUAAAGUGAAGGAUAAGUUUUCUCCUUUUUGUCUUCUGUCUAUGAGAUGCAACAACAAGAAGAGGCACAGAUGAGACAACGGGAUGCCAAUCUCACAGCACUAGCCUUCAUUGGACCCAGAAAAAAACGUAAAUUGGACUCACCAGGGACUACACCAUCGGGGACUGAGGUUUGCGGCAGCAUGGCAGGCUCUCCAGCCGGCUCGUCGGCCCCGUCCACCUCAUCUCGCCAGUACACACGGCAGCGCAUUACUCGGGUCAACCUCAGGGACUUAAUAUUCUACAUGGAGCAGGAGAGAGAGACCGCCMACUCCCUCCUCCUCUACCGAGCCCUGCUCAAGUAGCCUCCGCUCUGCUCAGCACUCACCGCAACCUCCACCUACUCCUCCUCCUCCUCCUCCUGCCACGUGCCUUCAGAUCAGGUCUAAUGUUUCAGCUCUGUGUCUUUCAAUGUACUGUAGUGAUGUUUGAUGUAGCUUUUAUUAACAAGACAAUGGAGAGAUAAGGAAAAGUCAAGAUGUUGUUCCCUGUGCUCUUUGUUUAGCUUCACAGCUUGUAGUCAGAUUAUUCCAGUUAAAGGCCAUAUUAUAUUUUUUAUUGUGUUGSAUUUGUUAGUGGAAGAAUGUCAUUAUGUCACAGGAGUUGACUCUAAACUUAUGUGUUGUAGGGAUGGAACGGUUUAUGAAAAAAAACAUUGAACGGUUCGGUUCACCUGUCUCAGUUCAGGACGUGUGUGUGCCGUUCAGUUGUACUCGUGCAAUAAAACUCUGUCCCAGUAAAAGUGCAGCAAAUCUCGAGAGGUUCUCUGAGUUUCUUCGGACGUUUCUGAAGGUUUUUAUGUCCUGUCAGCAGGACCAACUUUUCCAGCUACCUAAAGAAACAACAGAUGCAACUUUAGACUGAAACAAACCUCUGUCACGCAGGCGCUUGGUAAAGGCCAAUAAAUGAAAAGCAUUUGGACAUAAUCAAUGUCUUCUCAUUUACUGUACAAAAAAAUCACACCAAGCGUUACCAGAGGCCUGUCACUAUAAUGUGCCUAAAACCAAACUGCUUCAUUCCUUUAGUUUUUACAUGACUACAUAUUAAGAGUGAUUGAUAUUUUUAAAAGUAAAUGAUUGAUUAUCUAUGACUGAUUUAUGRUAUUUCUGGAGAAAUAGAAAAAAUAAAACACAAACCAAACCGAAUUAUGAGUUUUGUGAACCGUUCCACCCCUAAUGUGUUGGGUAACUAUUUAUUUCAGAUUAUUAGCAGAAGCUAUGUAAAACCACCUAAAAGUAACAAUUACUUUGUUAUGGUUAUGCUACAGAUCUGAGAGCUAUAUGUUGAACUUAAUUCAGUGAAUGUAGUCUAACUACUCUAAAUAAUAAGACUAAUUACACCAACAUUUUGUUUCGAAACAGAUUCCAAAUAACAGCAUCAUGUUACAUUUCCUUGCAGUCUGUGUAAAUAGUUCUUUUUGAAUUAUUUUACAGCAUGUAUAUUUUUAUCAUAAAAUAAGCUUUGUAAGAAAAUGAGUAACUCGUGUGUCGAUAUUAAGAGACCCGUUUUGUAACACAGCGUGCUUUGAAAGAGUCACAUUUACACCGUUCAUUCUGUCGAGGGUUGCUACAAGGCCGACCCCGACCCCGCCCGCCCAAUCAUUUAGUGAAACUGCAGUCAGCACCCUCUUUUGAUUGGUCACUCUUGUUGAAUGAGUCAGUAUUUUUUGUUACACAAUGUAUAAUGUGAACAUUUUUUUUGUACGACGGUUUGUUUGUAAUUUGUGUCCUGCAGUAUCUCAUCCACAUGCUGUUUAAGAAAGUAAGAUUUUAGUAAGAGUUAAAGUAAGGAGAGUAAAAAUAGACAUUCCUUUUAUCUUUUCCAGUCUGUAUGUUCACCGAUGUUUAAAAAAAACAUUGAAGUUAUUCCCUCUGUCUGUGUCGAACCUUUGUGAUGACUGAAUGAUAAUCUAUUUUAUGUGCAGCACUUGUAUUUUUGAUCCAAAAUGAACAAAAUGACAGCUGUAAAAUGAUGUGGACACAGUGGAAGGARAUACUUCUAUGAUUCAAACUUCAAAGUGUUUUUUUUUUCAUCAUUUUCUAAUUAAUCGUUUUGACUGAAGAGAACAGUGAAACAAAUUCUGCUUUUUUUUACAUCACUUUAUUUUUUAAACAAUCUUUAUUGUAUUAUGUCAUAUUGUAUAUCAUGCUUUUGUUUUUUAUUUUGUUUGUUUUUUAUAUAUUUAACUCAAUUUCUUGGCCUCUAUGCAGCUUUUCUUCUCAUAAUGAAGUUUAUUUAAAUAUGGGGGGGGGGGCAUUUGAAACAAUUGCUGUGCAUUGUAUAAUUAAACAGCACUUUUUUAUACCUAUUUUACCUGACAACUGAAAGCUGUCACUGUAUUAUAGCAAAAACAAAUGGCAUCUUUUAAGUAGUAAAUGCUGUCAGAACACUUAUUUUAUCACAAUUAAGGCUUUUUUUUUCUGGGAUUGGCUUUUAUGCUGAAACAUUUUCAUAAAUCUGAUCUCUGAGAUAUCUUAUUUUAGAAACAAGCACAACACUACCUGUCAUGGAUAUUUCAAAUGAUUUUAUGACUGAUUUCUAUGGUUUCUGGUGGCUUCACAGGAGAACAUUUUUACAGCUUUUUAGCCAAAUUAGAGGGACAAUAUUCCUACUGUAAACACACGGGGGAAGCAACAUUACAAAUGUGGAAAGGAUUUGUAAAUAUUGUUUACAAAACUAUGUGUUUAUUAGAACCACGGUAUUUUUGGUAAACUCUUGUACAUACCUUGAAAAUUUCCUGUUUGUGUGAGAAAAAAAAACUUUCGUAUUUGUACUUAUUUUGUAAAUGAAUAAAUAAGCUGUUUACUAAACUGAACUGACUUUAUAGAUGAUUUGUUUACAUUGUUUUUGCACCAAAAUCAAAAACUAAGGGACUCUGCAAAAUGUUAAUAAGAACAGACCUCAAUUCAAUUAACAAAUUUGUGUUUGAACUUCCUUUAAUUUACUGAAAAAAGUCAAUGCCUGCUACUUUUCACCUUUUUUUUUUUUUUGCUAGUGAUACAUUUUUGAAAUAUUGGAACAGGGCAGAGUUUAACACUAAUGCUUUUAAUGUUGAGCAGUUUUAAGGUUUCCUUCAUCAACUUUUUUAUAUUUCAGUUCUUCACAAGUUUUCUUAACACUGAGCUUUUUGUGUUGAUUUUAAGCUCGGUUUAUAGACUCAACACUUAAGCAUUGAAGUUCUUAUCUUGGUGAAAUAAAUCAGACCUUAUAUGUUGCUCUUCAAUCCGUGUAGCUAAUGAUGCAUUUACACAUGCACAUAGUCUCUUAUGUCAAAAUGUGUAAUUAUUUAUCAAUCAACARAGUACUUCUUUCACACAAAAGUAUUAAAACAAUAUAAAAUUGCUACYUUCUGGUUGUGAAAAAUUGGUGUCUGUCCCCGUUUUUAAACUGUCUACUUUAUGAACUUCAUAAAUGCAUAAAUUGUAUUAUGAUGAGUAGAAGUAAUAUAAGAUAUWAUAGUAACACAUACUGCGUGAUAGUAAUAUUGUAUGAUUUUGAUAUUGAAACACUGAAAAAUGUGAGGAGGAAGGUGUUACAUGUUGCAUCAUUUGAGCCUCRUCCAUCUAUCCAUCCAUUGUCUUUACCUGUUUUUCCGUGCAGGCUUGUGAAGAACUGGUGCCUGCUUCCAGAGAUCACUGGGCGAGAAUCAGAGUACAWCAUGGACAGGUUGCWAGUCCAUCACAGAGCACAUUAGUUACUAAUUAAGUCAACAUGCAUGAGUCAUUUUUAGAUGCUGCCAUUUAGAGCUAAGCUCAGAAAACUCAAACCUAAGAUGAGAACUAAAGAUCACUUGUACAGGGUGASGUACUGAAAAUUACAUGACAAUCCUGGCUUCACAACACAUGAAUGCUUCACYACACAAAAUGCAGGUUCUGCUUCUUUAUUGUAUCGUUGUGGAUUUCGAUUUCUGCUUCUGAACUGUGUGCUGAUAACUGGCCAGAUGUUUAUUCUUGUUUUCUGCCUGCAGGACUCACCAUCCACGAUUUCCAAAAAAACAAUUACGUAUUUUGAGUCGUCACGCUGUGGGACAGUCCUCCACUUUGCCUCAGUCCAUCUGAAACCAGCCCAAAGAUUUGUCUGCUUUUCUGUUAUAUUAUCUAAAUUUUGCCUCACUUUUAUUUAUUUAUUUAUUGUCCUACUGAAGUCUAUUAAUUCACUCUCUUUUUCAUUUCAGCUACAUAAGUGCCAACCGAGUCAAGCACUGCUGCUCUGCUUUGAAAAGUCCCCCCUCUAGGUUUUGGUUGCUAAUUAAGCAGAAGCAUUUUUWAAAAAGUCUAAACCAUUUAACUCUGUGAAUAAUAUUGGCGUUUAAAAGCAUAUUGUUGUUUUUUUUUCAGCCUGUGUGUUUGUCCCUCUGCAGCCACAGCUGAGCUGGAUUCUGCUGCAAAGACAGACUUUUCUCUUCCAAUUAUCUGGACACACUCCUUACUUACAAGUGGCCGGUAAGCAGCCGUUUUAGUUUGAGGACACAGAGUUCAACAUAGUGAAUACAACAACUGUACAUCCAAGCCUGAGUGUUUCUACACUUUAGUAAUAAAGCUGACCUUUGUUCUUUAGGAGCACUGAGCAACGAGACGCACUUCAGUUAUACAGUACAUCUUUUUAUUAUCGCAAAUAUGCAAGAAAAGUCAAAUGGAGACACUGUAAAUGAACACAUGCCCUUUAAUACCACAGUCUAAUUGUUUAAAACACUUUAAAUAAUAUACAUUUGCACCUUUUUAUACCCUUUGAAAUGCUUUAAUCCAUAUGUACACAAUGUUGCGUUUUGAAAUUCUUUUUAGUUCUUUUCGUGAUGAGGACUGCGAGGUCUCUCGAAAACAUGAGGAGCCCAUAAAGCCUAUAGAGUCCUGAUAAUUCAAUAUACAGAAACUGUACAAGUGACUCGCUUCAGGGGUGGAGUGACAGCCAUGUGGACUGGCUGAACACUUGACUGGUACUUCAUCUGGGUGGGGGGGAAAAACUGAAGAGAGGAGGGUGGGUGGGUUGACGUGAGGGAACAUGUCUGUGAAGUUUCCAGUCCUGUCAAGUUUAUCUGGCUCUGUAGUUAACUCGUCAUUUAAACACCGAGUCAAACAAAAAGGGGGCGUCUAAGGUUUCCURCAGUCGGAGGUCGUUCUGAGGUUUUAGUACCUUUUUAUCUUCUUCAAUACGUACGUUUCAGUUGUCAGUAUUAUUCAUUUACAAAUGGACGGCUUGGCUCUUGAACGGGGCGCGUCAGUAACAGAGCCUGCACUGAYCGUUUGAACUCUGCGGUUAUAAAACGGUCAGCAGCAGCUGGAGCUCGGAUCGUUGCUCCGUCAGGUCAGUAGCCCGUACCGUCUGAUGAGCUGCGGCGGACAGGAGAGCAUUUUGAAAAUGAGGUACGGGGCCGACAGCAGCGGGUGCAAACCCGAGUUUCUACUGACAUCGUGGAGCUGGAAGCCCUCAGGGAGGCAGGCGGGGGGUCCGAGGACCGCUGCGAAGACACGCCUCGGUACAUGAAAGGGYCUGGUUGACCAUUCCCUUUGAAACGACGCGCAAAGGCGCAGGCAGGUCAGAACAAAGAUGGGUUAGAGUGUGGGAAAAGACCUCCAGGGAAGACUCCCUUUGGACUCGGGGUGACACCCCCCCCCCCCCCCCUCACAC